AUUGAACGCUGGCGGCAUGCCUUACACAUGCAAGUCGAACGGUAACGGGCCUUCGGGUGCCGACGAGUGGCGAACGGGUGAGUAAUACACCGGAACGUGCCCGAUCGUGGGGGAUAACGAGGCGAAAGCUUUGCUAAUACCGCAUACGAGCUACGGAUGAAAGCAGGGGACCGCAAGGCCUUGCGCGGACGGAGCGGCCGAUGGCAGAUUAGGUAGGUGGUGGGAUAAAAGCUUACCAAGCCGACGAUCUGUAGCUGGUCUGAGAGGAUGAUCAGCCACACUGGGACUGAGACACGGCCCAGACUCCUACGGGAGGCAGCAGUGGGGAAUUUUGGACAAUGGGCGCAAGCCUGAUCCAGCCAUGCCGCGUGCAGGAAGAAGGCCUUCGGGUUGUAAACUGCUUUUGUUCGGAACGAAAAGCCUUCUUUUAAUACAGGGGGGUCAUGACGGUACCGGAAGAAUAAGCACCGGCUAACUACGUG
rnacentral:rRNA from 1 species